AAAACUAACCAAAACAACAAUGGAGUAACACUUGACUCGUUUUUAUUGCUUCCUACUGUGACAAAUUUAAUAUAUCUAAUUCUGUAAGAGAGACAUGGACGCAAAUAGACGGAAGAUAGACUACUAAUUAUGGACUGAAGAUCUGGUAGUGAGCGAUGACCUCAUAUCUACAAUUGCAGAUUCAUCUGCUCCUAAAUUAAUGGCCUCUUUGCUAGCCCUUAUGAACCUUGUAACAGCACCCCUCACGUACUCGUGCGCUUCUCGCACAUUCAUCUUUUUGCUCAUCCCAUCAGGGAAGCUGCUCAAGAAGUGGUCGCCAUUAAGAACCGCCGCUAGUUGAACU
rnacentral:misc_RNA from 1 species